rnacentral:tRNA from 1 species
GUGGGUGUAGCUCAACAGGUCAGAGCACUGGGUUGUGGCCCCAGAGGUUGUCGGUUCGAGUCCGAUCACUCACCCCA